UGGGUGCCAGAGANGGUUAGAGCCCCGUCUUUGACUCGGUACCUCACCNUGGNGAGNACUCACCANAGAGUCGGGUUGCUUGGGAAUGCAGGUCAAAAUGGGUGGUAAACUUCAUCUAAAGCUAAAUAUUGGCGAGAGACCGAUAGCGAACAAGUACUGUGAAGGAAAGAUGGAAAGAACUUUGAAAAGAGAGUGAAAAAGGGCUUGAAAUUGUUAAGAGGACAAGUGAUUGGAGCAUAUCAUACAUGGCGGGAUCCUGGAGACGGGGCAAGCGCCCUGAAUUUUACCAUCCCGGCAUGUUGGUCAGCAUCGAUUCUGUGUGGGGGAGAAAGCGGAGCCGUUGGGAGUACCUCGGUACAAUCUCGGCAGCCAUUUGCAGAAACCCUGGACGGGAUCGAGGCAGUGAAGCCCACGCUUGGCGGCCGGCCCCUUGCUCGGGCGGCGUGUGGAUUGCGCACCCUUUUAGGCGUGCGUGUGUGCACGCUGCGUGAAGCCGGGGAGCGCUGGACCUGUGGGGUGAAGAUGCUGGCACAAAUGGCUUCCAUCAGCCCGUCUUGAAACACGGACCAAGGAGUCUAACACGUAUGCGAGUAGUAAGGUGGCAAACCUUGGAUGCGCAAUGAAAGUAAACGUAGGUGGGAUCCGCAAGGUGCACCAUCGACCGACCAGGAGCCAGCCAGCAAUGGCUGCAAAAGGUUUGAGUAAGAGCAUAUUUGUUGGGACCCGAAAGAUGGUGAACUAUGCCUGAAUAGGGUGAAGCCAGAGGAAACUCUGGUGGAGGCUCGUAGCGGUACUGACGUGCAAAUCGUUCGUCAAAUUUGGGUAUAGGGGCGAAAGANUAAUCGAACCAUCUAGUAGCUGGUUCCCUCCGA
rnacentral:rRNA from 1 species